UUAUAUGCUCGAGUUUCUGUUGGUGUGCUCUGUUACAAGCUAGCCGAGGUAACUAAGAUGGCUGCGUCCAGAAGAGAAACUAAUGAGAGUCGUUCUGCCAUUGAAUCUGGAAAGAUGUUUCUUUUGGAGCUUCUUGACUCUGCGAUAAUGUUCUUUUAUUGGUUCUGAUCAUGGCAGAAUUGGGGAACAUGAGCACAAGAUAAAGUGGUGGACAUGACCAAUUUUUAUAUGGAUUGGGGAAUAAUGCUACAAAGUCUUAGGUCAUGAUCAAGAUUAUCAUCCAGGAAAGAGGAAACGAGGCAAAGAUUAUGAGGGAAUGAUAAGGUGCACACUUUCCAUACAACAAAUAAGAACUGGCCUCUUGACAAAAAUGCCUACUGGCUACAACUACUGGUAAAUUCAUCAGUUUAUUGAAUUGAAAAUCGUAGUUUAUAGUGCUUCACAGUGGAUACCAAAAGACUUGCACCGAGUUAGUGGUCCAUCAGAGCUUAUAAAAAGAAGUGUUCCAGCAGUCUAUACAUGCUACAAGAAUUGCGCCUUGUGAUCUUUAAUAUGUUCAGGUGCUCAUGUAAAAGAGUGAUGAAAGAAAAUCAAGCUUG